rnacentral:tRNA from 1 species
UGCCUAGUGGCUCAGUGGGUAGGGCACCAGCCUCAUAUACUGAGGGCAGCGGGUUCAAACCCCGCCCUGGCCA